AUUUUUUUGGGGAAAGCUGUUAUUAUCAACUAUCAAGACGUUAUUGUAUUAUAGUUAUUGCUAUCAUCUUUAUUGGUUUUUUACACGAUACUGUCAAAUCUUCUUUUGUAUUUUGUUAUUUGUACUUAUCGAUCAUUGGUAAAUAAUAUUGUAAGACUCAACUUCGCCGGUAUUCAGUUGUUAUAUUAUUCUAUAAUGCGUAGGUAUUCAUUGUUUUGUUAUUUAGCGAUGUUAAUGAUAGUACGAACGUGAAACGACCAUAUUAUGGCCAAAUUCUAAUUACCUACGUAUUUUAGUUUUGUAAAUUGUUGUGAUUAUAGACUGUCGUCUAGUCGUCCGUCGAUUAAACCAUUUGCAUAAGAAAUAAAACAAAUACCAUGUAUAUGAAACCAAUUGAUUUCAAUUCAGAUGGAUACUGGAUAAUGAGUGAGACACCUUCUACAUAAGUUGGUUUAUGCUUAUCUGUCAUUUAUCUUCUAGCUUUCACUGAUGAGUUAAACUAACUGAAAAUUUAAUUAGUUCAAGAUGUAGCUGAAGUAGUGAAUGUUGUUGCUGACGACAUUAUAAUUCAGUUUUGGCUAAUUGGAGAUCGACCAAAAACUUCCGGGUGUACAUCAAAAUGAAGAGGUUAUCGAGGAUAAUUUAGGGUUUCUUUACUUUAGAAGUAAAUUGACAGAAAAAAAAGUCAAAAGCCCGCAAAUAAGAAACAACACAAUUUGUAAAACAUAACAGUGCAUUAUAUAAUGAAAAUAAUAUUUAAAAUGUAAAGAAACUUCAACGAAUGGAUACCCAGCAACUGCUAUUAUUUCUUCGAUUAUUGAGGACAAUGGUUUUUCACUCAGAAGAUUGCAUA